CUAGCAAAUUCUAUAUAUAAGUAAAUUGCUUGAUGUGUACUUCAGUUUACACCUUAGUUUCACAAAUUCUUCACUUUUCAUCCGUGUCGGAUUUUUCAAAAAUACACUACUUUUGAUAAAUCUGAAACAAAUUCCUAGGACAUUUUUGAAGAAUUCAAACAACAUAGGUUUACACUAAAGAAAACCUUUUUAGGCAUACAUAGAUAGACAGAAUCCAUCCAAGAUCUCUGAAGCUCCAUCGUUGAUCAUUUUCUGUUUCCUCAGAACAUAAAUAUCCAUCUCAGUAAUAUAAAGCUUUCGAGGUCCAACGGAGCUAGAAAAGAGACGCAUGACAAUGACAACUCCACAUAGUGUCAUAAUCCUCUUGGUCAAGCAUUUUACAAAAGCAACAUAUUUUACUAUAACCUGCAUAAUAAGUAAGAUGAGCCUUUCAAAUUAUGUUUCUCUCAUAUAUAUAUAUAAGAAGAUCUAACCUUUAAGCAAAUGUAUAGACCUCAAAGGUUGUUCUAUUACCAUUUAUAGAUUAGCUCAGAGCUAUUUAUUCCACAUACUUUCAAUCAUCUGAAAUGAAAAGGUUAAGACUUCAGCAUAUCAAGCAAUUAAAUUUCCUUCUUGGAAGAAAGAAAUUUAUGAAACCCCGAGGCAAAAUCAUGAGAAUCAUAUAAUUGAACUUGAUAGUCAAAUAUCACUGAGAAAAUUCAUUAAAAAUAAUUAUCUUAUGUAUCAACAUGGGUGGAGCAUAUCUUUUUUUUUUUUUAAACUGGUAAGGUUGAAUUCUUAAUGAUGGCUACCUCCAAAAAGGGAUAAUUACAGAUUUCCUAUCAAAUCUAUAAUCUGAUCUAUAUCAUCUAUACAAAGCUGUUUACACCAAAAAAAGUAGAGAUACUAUACAAUUCCAUUUAACAUUGUGGAUGGAAUUGGAUUUAAAUGAAAGUGGAACAUAUCACUUUCAUUUAUGUGUGAAGUAGUCGUAACCAUCAACAAUAACUUCUAUAAACAUCUUUGAUAGUACAAUACUUUUUAACUACAAUAUGAAAAAGAUAUAAAUAUAUCACUUGGACAAAAUACUCAAAAUCAUUGAUAUUGUUUGUACAGUUUCUAAUUCAUCACAAGAACAUUAAAGUCAUCAAACUUCUUUAUUAUUUUGAAAACAAUAUAAGGAAAAGUUUUGAAAUACCAUCCCGAAGAAGGUAAACACCAAUCAACUAAAAGAAAAUGAAAUUAAGAAGAAAGUUAAAAAUAAAUAUUAGUGAGUAUUAUAGAAGAGAAACAGUGCAUGCAUAAUGUUCAUAAUUGUUUCUUGCAGUUUUUGACAAAAGAUGACAGUACCUGUAGAAGCAUGAAGUAAUUCCA
rnacentral:lncRNA from 1 species